rnacentral:rRNA from 1 species
AUUGAACGCUGGCGGCAUGCCUUACACAUGCAAGUCGAACGGCAGCAUGUAAGAGCUUGCUCUUCUGAUGGCGAGUGGCGAACGGGUGAGUAAAGCAUCGGAACGUACCGUGUAGUGGGGGAUAACGUAGGGAAAGUUACGCUAAUACCGCAUACCCACUGAGGUGGAAAGAAGGGGAUCGCAAGACCUUGCGCUAUACGAGCGGCCGGUGUCAGAUUAGCUAGUUGGUAGGGUAAAGGCCUACCAAGGCGACGAUCUGUAGCGGGUCUGAGAGGAUGACCCGCCACACUGGGACUGAGACACGGCCCAGACUCCUACGGGAGGCAGCAGUGGGGAAUUUUGGACAAUGGGGGAAACCCUGAUCCAGCCAUGCCGCGUGAGUGAAGAAGGCCUUCGGGUUGUAAAGCUCUUUCGGCCGGGAAGAAAUCGCACAGGCUAAUACUCUGUGUGGAUGACGGUACCAGCAAAAGAAGCACCGGCUAACUACGUGCCAGCCGCCGCCGUAA